ACUAAAUUGGGAGAAGGGUUGA
rnacentral:miRNA from 2 species